AACCCAUGUUGUGGACACUUCCGCAAGAGGUCCGUGAAUCAUUCCCAUUUCUCAAAUAAUGAUUCUAGCUCCAUCUGAACAUAUGAAGAGAUCUCAUUUCGAAGCUU